UUUGAUAUUUUUUUCUGAAAGUAUCGUUUCUUCGUCUCCUCUUCAUUUUCUUUCUCCUCCUCCCACCUCCCCACCACCACUAUCCACCUCCUUUAGUUUAUCUUCUUCGUCUUCUUUGACUAUCACCACCAGCCGUAACCGGCAACACCAUAACCACCAUUAAAGAAACAGAAAUCCACCACUUAGAGUCAAAUCGUUCUUCUCUCCAAAUUUUUUUUGUGUUCUUCCCAAAUUAAAAUCACAUAAAAUCAAUACCGAUAAACCCACACAAAAUCAACAUCAAUAAAAUCACCCAAAACCAAAAUCGAUUACAAAUUGUUUGAUUAACGUUUUCUAAGUUAUCCAGAUAAAGUGAGACGAGUUUCAAUUCAUCAUUACGCAUUUGGGCAGAAACAAAUAUUGGUUCUUAUCCAGAAUUUCUCACUACCUCUCUUCACAUAGUGGAAUUUUCCCGUUUUUUCAUACGCAUUGAUGAAUGAUGGGAAAUAAGGAAAUCAUAUAAUCCGGAGCCACUGACGGUGGUGAUUGAAAUAUUAUACUAUAUCCAUUACAAAAUUUGAUGUACGGAAGUGUGGUUCCAGGAACCAUCACGUAUGUACGUGCAACGAAUUACCCUGAUUUCACCCAAUUUUAUUUCCUUAUUUUGUGUAUCAAUCUUCUGUGUACCUGUUCAUGAGGAUUUUAGUUCAUUUUUUGCUUCGGUUUGCUUCGUACAUGGAUUCACAAGGUGACAUUCCGGGAUUCAAUCCACAUCAAGUCCAAGAUUUAUUGACAGGCAAUCCCAACAACAACGAAAGGCUCGCUUAGAGCGGCGCCGUGCUACAUACGAAAGGCAAUCCCAACAACAAAGAGAUGGUAACUUACAACGACGCCGUGAAAAACGAGAUUCAAUGACCAAAGUCGAAAAGUAUGCGAUUCUUGAAAAACGACCUAAUGCAUAUCGCGUUAGGAAAAGCAGAAUUGGAUGCAGGAACACAGAAGAAACAAGCGAUCAAGCAAGUGUACAAGUUUCUAACUAGCUCGGUGAGCAUAAAGCAGAUCAAGUUUUAUUUCCCGUCGAAGCCCUAGAAUUGAGCUGCAAUAGCGAGAGCUGCAACAGAGAAAGGUUAUGUUGACUGAGUGAGACUUUGAACGUUGAUUAAUACACAAAAAAUACAAGAUUACGGAAUGGCAGGAACAUCGCGCGUGCGUGUUAUACUAUUAGUAUAAUGAUUAGUGAGUUAAUUAAUGAUUAGUGAGAUUAACUUAACAAGUUGAUUUUUUUCAAAAGAAGAAUUAUUGAGAGGGA